UACGUAGGGGGCAAGCGUUGUCCGGAAUCAUUGGGCGUAAAGCGCGUGUAGGCGGUCCGGUAAGUCCGCUGUGAAAGUCGAGGGCUCAACCCUCGAAUGCCGGUGGAUACUGUCGGGCUAGAGUACGGAAGAGGCGAGUGGAAUUCCUGGUGUAGCGGUGAAAUGCGCAGAUAUCAGGAGGAACACCAAUGGCGAAGGCAGCUCGCUGGGACGUGACUGACGCUGAGACGCGAAAGCGUGGGGAGCAAACAGG
rnacentral:rRNA from 1 species